GUCUGCUGAUCCACAAACGUGUCCUGCGGAGUCGGGAGCGAAGUGUAGCGGUUCUGGUGAUUGGGAAGGAGAGUUCUUCCCUGAGAUCCCUCACAUUAAGUAUGAGAGACUUAAGAGCAGUAACCCACUUUCUUACAAGUGGUAUAGCGCAGAAGAGGAGAUUCUUGGCAGUAACCCACUUGCUUACAAGUGGUAUAACCCACUUGGUUCAUCUCUUCUUCUUCUUUGGUGAUGUUUAUAGUGUGUCAAUGCUACUUGUAGCUUCCCCACUCCCAUUUUUAAUGCAAGACGUGGCUCACGUCUCAACUUGACUUGAAAGGAUAAAGGCAAUCUGCAGAAGAUGUCAGAGAUGAUGGAUUCAUUUGAGAACCAGUUGUGAAUAUGGAGGUCCAAGCUGAGUUCAUGGAGAACGCCAUGGCUGGUUCAACAUCAUUGUCCA